GACGAACGCUGGCGGCGUGCUUAACACAUGCAAGUCGAACGGAAAGGCCCUGCUUGCAGGGUGCUCGAGUGGCGAACGGGUGAGUAACACGUGGGUGAUCUGCCCCUUACUUUGGGAUAAGCCUGGGAAACUGGGUCUAAUACUGGAUAGGACCAUGCUGUAGGUGGUGUGGUGGAAAGAUUAGUUUCGGUAAGGGAUGAGCUCGCGGCCUAUCAGCUUGUUGGUGGGGUAAUGGCCUACCAAGGCGUCGACGGGUAGCCGGCCUGAGAGGGUGGACGGCGAGAUUGGGGCUGAGAGACGGGCGGGACGCGCAGGGGGGGAAGCAGUGGGGAAGAUAGGACAAGGGGCGCAAGGAUGAUGCAGCAGGGCCGCGUGGGUGAUGGUGGCGUUAGGGUGGUAAAAGGAUAUGGAGGGGGAAGAAGCUUUGGGGGACGGGAAGUAGAGAAGAGGCACGGGAGAACUAAGUG
rnacentral:rRNA from 1 species